AGCUGUAUCGACCUACUGGAAUUGAAACUGGGUAUCAAACUUUCAAACAUAUCCAUGACCCAGCAUGGAGGAAGCGAGACCAGAAGAGAGUGUCAAGACAGAAGCAGGAGCAGUUUAAAAUUGACAAAGAAGGUGGUUUAAAAAACUUGAAGUACAGUGUUGUGUCCAGAACAGAGCUGACAAUUGAAGGGGUACACUGCCUCAUCAUUAACAUCCUACUGGAAUGUGACCUGAAUGAAACUCCUUGGUGCGUCAUAAACUGACUGGAGGAAGCCGGAAAAUAACAGGAUCUCACUUUGCUUACAUGGUUAUGGCGAUAUCAUGAGUGGACCUAUCACUGUGUGAUCAUGGGCUUCUGUUCUUCCCAGGGAUGCCCUUAACACAGAAUCAGGUGCUAAAGUAAUGCAGUAUUAGAGGGAGGUCCGAAUGGAAUUUCUCUUCUGCCGGCUGAACUGUGCUGAUCAUUACGGUUAUAAAUUACUGCAUUGUAAGAAGUCGUCUCAGAUGGAGUAAUAUGCUACCUGUGGGAAGUUGCUCACAAAUGAACAAAGUCCAGUUUUUGUUUUUAUUUGGAAUGUUUUCAAUCAUCAAAACCUUUGUUUUAUUAUUGAGAACAAGCCCUUUAAACCAUUGCAAGUGGUCCCCCAAUGGAUUGUACCAUGCCAGUGGUGAAGAAGUCGUUAUCUAUCAUUGUUAUACAACGGUUUAUUCUGUCUGGAGCCCAUGCAUGAUCGAUUCCUUGAGUAAUGAGGAGCAUUGUCAGUCAAGGGAGCCUUUUACCUGAAUUAAUUGGCGACCCAGGAAUUGUUCGAUUUGUAAACUUUUGCCUUUGUGAUAAACUGUAAACCUCCUGUGAGUGUGAUCUAAAGCCUAAAGGUGCUCCUUUCUGAUUCAGAUUGAUGGAACAAAUGUUUACAAAGAACUGGAUACUGAUAUCACCCCAUUGAUUUAUUCCAUUUUGUUGGUGAGCGUGGCUGUUACAAAGGACAGGCAGCCAACGUGAGUGCGCUAAAGGUUACUGUCUCUACAGUUAGAAAAAGCUACAUUCCAAACUAAGUGUAAAGUCUGGGAAUUAUUUUAUAAUGAAGGAAAAGGACACAUUAGGCUAAUAUGAAGCAAUGUACUUUACAUUUUAACCGCUGAAACACUGUGAUGUCAUUUAGAAAACCUUUGUGUACUUGAGGCUACUGUUACAAUAACGGUUUGGAUGACUCCACAGCUGUGACCUAUGGGACCCUGCUCAUUCUGAUUCUUUCCCAGCAAAAAUCAUGAUGAGAAGGGACAGAACGCAGUGAUUCUCUUGGGUGUUCUGCCAUCUGGUGGAACAGUAAAGUAUUAAAUAGGUGAACGUUUAUUCUGGGUCAGAUGAUUUAGUUCUACAUUUCAAGCCAUUGGUGAUUUUUAUUUGCCCUGCUUUGAAGUUGUUUUCAGUUCCUGCAGUUUCUUUGGAAAUGUCUUUUUUUUUUAAACUUAAACAGAUUUUUCAAAAAUAAAAUCUUUCUGCUGAUGAAAUAUGAAAUGACCUUUUAAUGAGGAGACGAGAGGAAUUGUACCAGGUUCACAGGAAGAGAAUAACAAAGAGGCACAAAUAUAAAUAUUGUUUGAUCUCUUUCAGUAUUCUUGAAGCAUUUGGAUCCAUUGAAUUAGAAAAAAAUGCCAAUGCUUUAAAGUUGCACAUUCCUUUUUAUGCAGCUUAAAAGAGACUAUGUUACCUGGUACUUCACAUUAAUGGCUGUUUGAGGGUUACAGCAGUGAGCUAAGGCAGUGUCGGCAUUUAUGAAUGAAAUGGAAGGGAAGAUUUUUAAGUAAAUCUAAAACUGGAAAGACCUUUUAGAAAAUUUCCAUUUGUUUUGGUGUCUAUUAUGCUUUGCUGUAUAGGUCCAUGAGAUAGAGGGUACAAUGAAUUCAGUAUUAGUGAGUAGCAACUGCCAUUCCAGUGCAUUUCUUUAUCAUAUUUAUUAAUUUUGCAGGUAACUCCUAGAAAUAAAUUUAAUUUUACCAA